CUGGCUCAGAUUGAACGCUAGCGGGAUGCUUUACACAUGCAAGUUGAACGGCAGCACGAGAGAGCUUGCUCUCUUGGUGGCGAGUGGCGGACGGGUGAGUAAUAUAUCGGAACGUGCCUAGUAGCGGGGGAUAACUACUCGAAAGAGUGGCUAAUACCGCAUACGCCCUACGGGGGAAAGGGGGGGAUCGCAAGACCUCUCACUAUUAGAGCGGCCGAUAUCGGAUUAGCUAGUUGGUGGGGUAAAGGCUCACCAAGGCAACGAUCCGUAGCUGGUUUGAGAGGACGACCAGCCACACUGGGACUGAGACACGGCCCAGACUCCUACGGGAGGCAGCAGUGGGGAAUUUUGGACAAUGGGGGAAACCCUGAUCCAGCCAUCCCGCGUGUAUGAUGAAGGCCUUCGGGUUGUAAAGUACUUUUGGCAGAGAAGAAAAGGUACCUCCUAAUACGAGGUACUGCUGACGGUAUCUGCAGAAUAAGCACCGGCUAACUACGUGCCAGCAGCCGCGGUAAUACGUAGGGUGCAAGCGUUAAUCGGAAUUACUGGGCGUAAAGCGUGUGUAGGCGGUUCGGAAAGAAAGAUGUGAAAUCCCAGGGCUUAACCUUGGAACUGCAUUUUUAACUGCCGAGCUAGAGUAUGUCAGAGGGGGGUAGAAUUCCACGUGUAGCAGUGAAAUGCGUAGAUAUGUGGAGGAAUACCGAUGGCGAAGGCAGCCCCCUGGGAUAAUACUGACGCUCAGACACGAAAGCGUGGGGAGCAAACAGGAUUAGAUACCCUGGUAGUCCACGCCCUAAACGAUGUCAACUAGCUGUUGGGGCCGUUAGGCCUUAGUAGCGCAGCUAACGCGUGAAGUUGACCGCCUGGGGAGUACGGUCGCAAGAUUAAAACUCAAAGGAAUUGACGGGGACCCGCACAAGCGGUGGAUGAUGUGGAUUAAUUCGAUGCAACGCGAAAAACCUUACCUACCCUUGACAUGUCUGGAAUCCCGAAGAGAUUUGGGAGUGCUCGCAAGAGAACCGGAACACAGGUGCUGCAUGGCUGUCGUCAGCUCGUGUCGUGAGAUGUUGGGUUAAGUCCCGCAACGAGCGCAACCCUUGUCAUUAGUUGCUACGCAAGAGCACUCUAAUGAGACUGCCGGUGACAAACCGGAGGAAGGUGGGGAUGACGUCAAGUCCUCAUGGCCCUUAUGGGUAGGGCUUCACACGUCAUACAAUGGUCGGGACAGAGGGUCGCCAACCCGCGAGGGGGAGCCAAUCUCAGAAACCCGAUCGUAGUCCGGAUCGCAGUCUGCAACUCGACUGCGUGAAGUCGGAAUCGCUAGUAAUCGCGGAUCAGAAUGUCGCGGUGAAUACGUUCCCGGGUCUUGUACACACCGCCCGUCACACCAUGGGAGUGGGUUUCACCAGAAGUAGGUAGCCUAACCGUAAGGAGGGCGCUUACCACGGUGGGAUUCAUGACUGGGGUGAAGUCGUAACAAGGUAGCCGUAAAU
rnacentral:rRNA from 1 species